rnacentral:rRNA from 1 species
UACGUAGGGGGCUAGCGUUGUCCGGAAUCAUUGGGCGUAAAGAGCGUGUAGGCGGCUCGGUAAGUCCGCUGUGAAAGUCCAGGGCUCAACCCUGGAAUGCCAGUGGAAACUGUCGAGCUAGAGUCCGGAAGAGGCGAGUGGAAUUCCUGGUGUAGCGGUGAAAUGCGCAGAUAUCAGGAGGAACACCAAUGGCGAAGGCAGCUCGCUGGGACGGUACUGACGCUGAGACGCGAAAGCCAGGGGAGCGAACGGG